GACGAACGCUGGCGGCGUGCUUAACACAUGCAAGUCGAACGGUGAUGGCAGGGCUUGCCUUGUCUGAUCAGUGGCGAACGGGUGAGUAACACGUGAGUAACCUGCCCCAGACUCUGGGAUAACCCCGGGAAACCGGAGCUAAUACAGGAUAUGACCUCCUCUCGCAUGAGAUGGGGGUGGAAAGUUUUUCGGAGCAGGAUGUGCUCGCGGUCUAUCAGCUUGUUGGUGGGGUAAUCGCCUAGAAAGGCGUCGACGGGUAGCCGGCCUGAGAGGGUUACCGGCCACACUGGGACUGAGACACGGCCGAGCCACCUACGGGAGGCAGCAGUGGGGAAUAUUGGACAAUGGGCGGAAGCCUGAUCCAGCAACGCCGCGUGAGGGAUGACGGCCUUCGGGUUGUAAACCUCUUUCAGCACCGACGAAGCGAGCUUUUGGGUGAGUGACGGUAGGUGCAGAAGAAGGACCGGCCAACUACGUGCCAGCCGCCGCAGUAACAC
rnacentral:rRNA from 1 species